UACGUAGGGUGCGAGCGUUGUCCGGAAUUACUGGGCGUAAAGAGCUCGUAGGUGGUUUGUCACGUCGUCUGUGAAAUUCCGGGGCUUAACCUCGGGCGUGCAGGCGAUACGGGCAAUACUUGAGUGCUGUAGGGGAGACUGGAAUUCCUGGUGUAGCGGUGAAAUGCGCAGAUAUCAGGAGGAACACCGGUGGCGAAGGCGGGUCUCUGGGUAGUAACUGACGCUGAGGAGCGAAAGCAUGGGUAGCGAACAGGAUUAGAUACCCUGGUA
rnacentral:rRNA from 1 species